rnacentral:lncRNA from 1 species
UGAUUCAAUUUAAUUUUUUUCUUAUACAUUUUUAUCUAUAACUAUUUAGGCUCUAAUGUAAACCCUUAACAUUAUUCUUAGAGUGUGUUGGGUUCGAAGUCGGAAUCGGUAUCGGAGUAGGAAUGAGAAUAAGCUGAAAAUGGAAUCGGAAUGAUUUAUUAUCUCAUUCUGUUUGGUUCGCCACCUGAAUCGAAAUCGGAAUGAACCGUUCUCAUAGACGGUGUUUGGUUUAAAUAGAUAUCUCAUAAACGUAAUCAAAUUAAUAUAUCAAUUUUAUCUUUAUAAUAUAUUAGUUUAAAUUCAAACUAAAAAUUAAAUGUUAAAAAUUUACGUCAAAGUUUUAAAAUAAUGUCAAAAUUUUAAAUAUAUUUUUUUUAAAAUUAAAAUUUGAAAUUGAAUAGAUAAUUCAAAAUAUAAAACUAAAUUUUGAUUUAUUCAAAUUUACACAUAAAAUUAUAAUUUAAAUUUCAAUUUGAAUCCAUAAAUUUAAUUUAAAUUUUAAAUAAAAUUUGAAUACAACUUUAGAUUUUUAAAUUAAAUUUAAAUUUAAAUUUAUAAAUUAGAUUAGAAAUACUUGAUUGAAUUUUAAUUUUUAAUUUAAGUUCAAAUUAAAAUUAAAAUUUAUAAAUAUAAGUUUUAAACGUAAACUUAUGUUUUAAUUAAAAAGAAAGUUUAAAAAAUUAAAUUUAAUCCGAAUAAAUUUAUUUCGUCCGGAUUUAAUUUUCAAUCCAGAUUGAACAGAAGGGUAAUUGAGGGGAUUCUUAUUCACCUGGGAAUCGAAAUCGAAAUGAAAAUUUCGCAUAUCAAAUACGGACAAACAGAUUCGUCCAUUUCAAUUCCAAUUCCAAAGUGAAAAAGUAGCGAACCAAACACGUUCCGUCUGAAAUGACAGCAAAUUAUGUUACAUAAAGUAAAAAUAUAUGAGAAAUUUGAACCAGAACAUAUUAGUUCAAUAAAAAUAUUUUUUCUAAAA